rnacentral:rRNA from 1 species
GCAUAUCAAUAAGCGGAGGAAAAGAAACUAACUAGGAUUCCCUUAGUAACGGCGAGUGAACCGGGAUGAGCUCAAAUUUAAAAUCUGGCGUCUUUCAGGCGUCCGAGUUGUAAUCUAUAGAGGCGUUUUCCGCGCCGGACCGCGUCCAAGUCUCUUGGAAUAGAGUAUCAAAGAGGGUGACAAUCCCGUACUUGACGCGACAACCGGUGCUCUGUGAUACGUUCUCAAUGAGUCGAGUUGUUUGGGAAUGCAGCUCUAAAUGGGUGGUAAAUUCCAUCUAAGGCUAAAUAUUGGCGAGAGACCGAUAGCGAACAAGUACCGUGAGGGAAAGAUGAAAAGCACUUUGGAAAGAGAGUUAAACAGCACGUGAAAUUGUUAAAAGGGAAACGAUUGAAGUCAGUCGUGUGAAAGGUAUUCAGCCGUCUCUGGCGGUGUAUUUGCCUUUCACGGGUCAACAUCAGUUUGAUCCGGUAGAAAAAGGCGGGAGGAAGGUGGCACCCUCGGGUGUGUUAUAGCCUCCUGUCAUAUGUGCCGGACCAGACUGAGGAACGCAGCUUGCCGCAAGGCCGGGGUUCGCCCACGUACAAGCUAGGAUGUGACAU